UCGGGGGUGUCCGUCGAGGUCAGGGCGGCGGAUGCCUCGGAGGCAUCCGCCUGCUCGGCCUCGGGUGCCGGGCCCUCGGUC
rnacentral:tRNA from 1 species